AUUGAACGCUGGCGGCAUGCUUUACACAUGCAAGUCGAACGGUAACAGGCCUUCGGGUGCUGACGAGUGGCGAACGGGUGAGUAAUGCAUCGGAACGUACCCAGAGGUGGGGGAUAACGCAGCGAAAGCUGUGCUAAUACCGCAUGUGAUCUGAGGAUGAAAGCGGGGGACCGAGCAGCAAUGUUUGGCCUCGCGCCUUUGGAGCGGCCGAUGUCGGAUUAGCUAGUUGGUGGGGUAAAGGCCUACCAAGGCGACGAUCCGUAGCUGGUCUGAGAGGACGACCAGCCACACUGGAACUGCGACACGGCCCAGACUCCUACGGGAGGCAGCAGUGGGGAAUUUUGGACAAUGGGCGCAAGCCUGAUCCAGCAAUGCCGCGUGCGGGAAGAAGGCCUUCGGGUUGUAAACCGCUUUUGGCAGGAACGAAACGGUGUCCGCUAAUACCGGGCGCUAAUGACGGUACCUGCAGAAUAAGCACCGGCUAACUACGUG
rnacentral:rRNA from 1 species